CUAAAUAAUAAUUAAAUAACUGGACACAAAUAGGUAAGUUCAUUAAAUGAUAAACAUUAAAAGUAGGAUUCAAUUUAAAUAUAUUUAAUUCUUGGUCACAGCUCGGUCACAACAAUAUAUUAAAAUUUUGAUAUAAAACUCUGACUAUAAAUAUUAUGAAUACAACUAAAAAUUAUUCUAAAAUAUAAACUACAAUUUACAGUUUUUCUGUUUGGACGGCUUUGUCUAACUUAAUGCAAUUUACAUCUAUAACAGGACUAUUGACACUAUUUAUGGUAACAUUACAGUUAUUAAAAAUAUAAGUUGACCUAGUUUCAUCUGAUGAACCUAAAACGUACAACCCAAUGUCAGGAUUGCAAUGAACUGGCAAAUUUAAUUCCUGUCUUUCAUUGAAAACUUUCUUCGUUGUAGGUCGUUGACAAGGCAGGUUAUUAAAUGAAGCAUUUAUGUUUUCAAUGGACCUAAGAACACCCGCUGAUGGAAUUUUCUUUGAUGUAGAUGGUGCAACAACAAUCUUGGUACAGCUGUAGUUAUAGAAGUUGAUGGUGCGCAGUGGAUCUCUGUCUCUGUAUCAGGAACGAUAUCAAUGGUUUCAGCUUGCUUUGAUUCUUUUGGAAUCUGCUAUGUAACCAGAAGCAACAGUGCUGGACUUCCAUCCAUCAUGUCGUUUUAGCGUAGUCAGGUCAGCACCCGCAUCGACUAACAGAGUUGUUGAGGUUCUCCGGAAGCAGUGUCCAG